CAGAGGGUGCGAGCGUUAAUCGGAAUUACUGGGCGUAAAGCGUGCGUAGACGGCUAUUUAAGUCGGGUGUGAAAGCCCCGGGCUCAACCUGGGAAUUGCAUUCGAGACUGAAUAGCUAGGGUACGGUAGAGGGAAGUGGAAUUUCCGGUGUAGCGGUGAAAUGCGUAGAUAUCGGAAGGAACAUCAGUGGCGAAAGCGACUUCCUGGACCAGUACCGACGUUCAGGCACGAAAGCGUGGGGAGCAAACAGGAUUAGAUACCCUGGUAGUCCACGCCAUAAACGAUGAGGACUAGACGUUGGAGGGGUAAGCCUUUCAGUGUCGUAGCUAACGCGCUAAGUCCUCCGCCUGGGGAGUACGGCCGCAAGGUUG
rnacentral:rRNA from 1 species